AAAAAUAAAUAAAAAGUAUUUUUCUUCUAGAGAAUAUAUUUUUUGAGUCUAAAUUGGGUUAAAAUAGAGUCGAAAUCGAAUAAGUUCGGUUAAAUUUUGGUUAAGUCAAACCGGAUAUAUAAUUUUUGGUUAACUGGUCGGUUCAAUUGGAGGUGUAGUUUUAAAAACAAAUCUGAAAGUACAUGUAGUUUUAUCGAGAUUAAAAUUGUUUAUGGUGGUUUUUCAAGUGGCUAAAAGUUUAGGGUGGAAAGUUGAGACUGUCACCUAAAGUUCAUGAAACUGUCAAAUCCUUACUUGCCGGAUUUAGUAGACCGAAAAUACUCUAAGCCAAGUUACUUCAUCGAAGAU
rnacentral:sRNA from 1 species